ensembl:lncRNA novel transcript
ACUCCGGGGUUCUGGUGUAGGUAGAUCCGGGGCAGGCUCAGGACCAAGUCCCUCUCCUUCCACCAAGGAGCGCCCAGAGGCCGGCGGGAGCUCCAGGUUCACCUCCUCCUCCUCCAGGAAAUCCCACUUCCAACUGGAUGUCUGGAUGAACUACUGAAAGCUGCUGAGUGUCCUGCAGCAGAGCCAAGAGCUGGUUAGAGCUGCAAGGACACCGCCUGCACAGGAUGCCCGGGGCUGGGCAUUACCUGCUGCAAUGACAACAUCUGGCUGGAUGGCAGAGAGCUGACAGACCGUCGCGACGUCCCAGUCCAGCUGGGCCACUGUCACCCUGGGGCUGUCUAAGUUGGCAGUGAUAUCUGCACCUAAUGAGAGGCCAUUGAGAAGGACAUUCCCUCAGAGCUGCUAGAGGACCCAGCUGUGACAGUCCCUGAAGAUGUAUGCCCGGGGGUGGCACAUCUUGCAGAUGGCCAGGCCUGUGAGGCCAGCACCACUGCCAAGCUCUAGGACAGUCCUGGUGGGAGGAAAGGGGGUCAUGUCUGCGACUGCACCAGGGUAAGCCUGCCUCGGUGCCCUGCCCUGUGCCCUGAGGUCACCUAUCAGUGAAGGCUGCUGGGUUCUCGAUGGCCCAUUCUGCAAGGUAGAGGGCGGCAUCCCAUGUGACCAGGACUGUGAUGCCGUGGGAGAUGAUGGCUGUGCUCUUGGAGAGUGUGACUGAGCCUCCCGAGGGCAGCACCAAGAGAAGGCGAGAGAGUCAGUCCAGCGAUCAGAAGGCAAGUGGCUUAGAAGACAAGCAGCCAUCCACCACAUGGCUGAAUAAACCAUGACAGGACAAAUCGCCACUCAGCAAUGAGAAGCAGCUAACUGUUGACAUGCCAACAGCUUGCACAGGCCUCAAGGGUGUCACGUGGCAUGAAAGACACUCAUCUCAGGCCACACAGGAUUCCAUUCAUUGAACAUUCCUGAGACAAUGGAAUUCUGGCGAUGGAGCACAGGUCAGUUGUGGCCAGGGGCCGGGUGUGGCUAUGAAGGGGUGGCUGCCUUGUGAUGAUUCAAUAUGCUAUGUUUUUCCUUUGUGGUUUUCUGUAUCUAUGUUUUAUCUUAUUUUUUUUGAGCUCUGUUCCCCAGGCUGGAGUCAGUGGCACAAUCUUGGCUCACUGCAACCUCUGCCUCCUGGGUUCAAGCAAUUCUCCUGCCUCAGCUGCCCAAGUAGGUGCGACUACAGGCAUGUGUCACCAUGUCUGGCUAAUUUUUCUACUUCUUUUUGACAGUUUCACUCUCGUUGCCCAGGUGGGAGUGCAAUAGCGCGAUCUUGGCUCACUACAACCUCCACCUCCUGGGUUCAAGAGAUUCUCCUGCCUCAUCCUCCUGAGUAGCUGGGAUUACAGGCGCCCACUACCACACCAAGCUAAUUUUUGUAUUUUUAGUAAAGGCAGAGUUUCACCAUGUUGGCCAGGCUGGUCUCAAACUCCUGAUCUCAGGUGAUCCACCCGCCUCAGCCUCCCAAAGUGCUGGGAUUACAGGCAUGAGCCACCACGCCCGGCCUAAUUUUUGUAUUUUUAGUAGAGACAGGGUUUCACCAUAUUGGCCAGGCUGGUCUUGAACUCCUGACCUCGGAUCCACCCGCCUCAGCCUCCCAAAGUGCUGGGAUUACAGGUGUGAGCCACCACACCCGGACCUGUCAACUAUUCUUUGAGGACUGGGCACCAGGUCCUUGUGAAGCAGGUAGAGUGUGUCACCUAUUGGACAAAUGCCUCACAACCCUAUAAGACAUGCUGUUGUUGUUGAAGUGCUUGAUUUACAGACAGGGAAACUGAGGCUAAAGAAGGUUGACGAACCUCAUGUCUAAGACUGCAGACUGGGUGAGUCAGGAUUUGAACCCACACCCACGUUUUCACUUUGUCUGUGCGGGAAGGGUAUCUGGGCUGUGAGGGGGAGGAGGGUGUCCUUCUCAUACCAGCAAAUAGCUCCGGUGGCCCUGGGUGGACUCCUUGGCCAUCAGGGUCUCCACCAGCACCUCGUACAGCUCAUCCAAAGGCUCUGUGUGGACAGCCUCGUGCUGGGGGCAGACAGAGUGAGAGCUUGUUUGCUUUCGUUCUAAUCUGUAAAAAUGGCCAGAUGAUUUUCACCAAGUUUGGAGGGGAGAUAUGGGAUAGAAUGGUGUAAUACCGGCCAGCUGCCAUAUAAAAUAUUCACUUCGUUGGGCGUGGUGGUGUGUGCCGAAUAGUCCCAGCUACUCUAGAGGCUGACAUGGGAGGACUGCUUGAGCCCAGGAGUUCAAGGACAGCCUGGGCAAGAGACCUUGUCUCUAAAAAAAAAAUUCACUUGGUAGGGAAACCUGGAUGGGAGGGCCUUCAAAGAGAGGUGUUGAAAGUGUAGGGUUGGGUGUAGUCUAGGGCAGGAGACAAGGAUUCUGUGAGAGCUGCCACAUGACCAUGACAGAGAGGAGGAAAACAAAAGGUGCUUUUAAGUGAGCCCAGGCAGAACUGUGAGGGCGGCCCAUGCUGCAGGCUGUGGCUGUCAGCAGGCUGCUUCUCCACGGCUGGCCCCAUCCUAAGAUUCACAGGGCAGCAGCAGGGUACACUGGGUGACUGCUGCCCUCUCCUGGUGGCACAGGGCAGACCUACUGGUGACCACAGAUGCACCCUUUUGGGGAGGACUAGGGAGAAAGAAGGUAUUGGAGAAGCAGGGGAUUGUUUAUUUGCUAAAAGUGUGGCCCUUUCACACAGAAGAUCUGCUACUGCCUACUGAGGAAUGGCCUCUCGACAUCCUUAUGUCAAACCCUGCAUGUUCGGGCUCAUCUUUAAAAUC